AUGUGGGGCAAUGUCUUUAAGUAAGGAUAAAUUACUUGAAAAAACUGAAUCCUAGAUAGUGUUCCCUUCAAGUCAAAUGUCUUUU
rnacentral:pre_miRNA from 1 species